rnacentral:rRNA from 1 species
GACGAACGCUGGCGGCGUGCUUAACACAUGCAAGUCGAACGGACAGGCCCUGCUUUUGUGGCGUGCUCGUGUGGCGAACGGGUGAGUAACACGUGUGUAUCCUCCCCUUUACUUUGGGAUAACUUCUGGAAACUGGGGCUAUUACCCGAUAGGAUCUCCUGCUGCAUGGUGGGGGUUGGAAAGUUUCGGCGGUUGGGGAUGGACUCGCGGCUUAUCAGCUUGUUUGUCGGGUAGUGGCUUACCAAGGGUUUGACGGGUAGCCGGCCUGAGAGGGUGACCAGCGACAAGAGGACUGAGGGACGGAGCAGAAGGCAACGGGAGGCAGCAGGGGAGAGUAUUACACAAUGAGGGGAAGCGAGAGACGGCAGCGCCGGGAGCGGGAUGACGGCCUACGGGUUAUAAACCGCUGUGGCAGGAGACGAAGCGUGAGUGACGGUAAUGAGUAAAAAAGCACCGGCUAACUACGUG